AGUGAACGCUGGCGGUAGGCCUAACACAUGCAAGUCGAACGGCAGCACAGUAAGAGCUUGCUCUUACGGGUGGCGAGUGGCGGACGGGUGAGGAAUACAUCGGCAUCUACUUUUUCGUGGGGGAUAACGUAGGGAAACUUACGCUACUACCGCAUACGACCUACGGGUGAAAGCAGGGGAUCUUCGCACCUUUCGCGAUUGUAUGAGCCGAUGUCGGAUUAGCUAGUUGGCGGGGUAAAGGCCCACCAAGGCGACGAUCCGUAGCUGGUCUGAGAGGAUGAUCAGCCACACUGGAGCUGAGACACGGUCCAGACUCCUACGGGAGGCAGCAGUGGGGAAUAUUGGACAAUGGGCGCAAGCCUGAUCCAGCAAUACCGCGUGGGUGAAGAAGGCCUUCGGGUUGUAAAGCCCUUUUGUUGGGAAAGAAAAGAAGCAGGUUAAUACCCCGCUGUUCUGACGGUACCCAAAGAAUAAGCACCGGCUAACUUCGUG
rnacentral:rRNA from 1 species